UACGUAGGGCGCAAGCGUUGUCCGGAAUUAUUGGGCGUAAAGAGCUCGUAGGCGGUUUGUCGCGUCUGCUGUGAAAACCUAAGGCUCAACCUUGGGCUUGCAGUGGGUACGGGCAGACUAGAGUGCGGUAGGGGAGACUGGAAUUCCUGGUGUAGCGGUGAAAUGCGCAGAUAUCAGGAGGAACACCGGUGGCGAAGGCGGGUCUCUGGGCCGUAACUGACGCUGAGGAGCGAAAGCAUGGGGAGCGAACAGG
rnacentral:rRNA from 1 species